rnacentral:rRNA from 1 species
UCGGAUUGCAGUCUGCAACUCGAGUGCAUGAAGCUGGAAUCGCUAGUAAUCGCGAAUCAGAAUGUCGCGGUGAAUACGUUCCCGGGUCUUGUACACACCGCCCGUCACACCAUGGGAGCCGACAACGCCCGAAGUCAGUGACCUAACCGAGAGGGAGGAGCUGCCGAAGGCGGGGUUGGUAACUGGGUGAAGUCGUAACAAGGUAGC